UAGGGAAUAUUGCACAAUGGAGGAAACUCUGAUGCAGCGACGCCGCGUGAGUGAUGAAGGACUUCGGUUCGUAAAGCUCUGUUGCAGGGGAAAAAGAAAGUGAUGGUACUCUGUGAGAAAGGGUCGGCUAACUUCGUGCCAGCAGCCGCGGUAAGACGAGGGACCCUAGCGUUGUUCGGAAUCAUUGGGCGUAAAGCGGGUGCAGGUUGCUUUGUAAGUCAGGUGUGAAAGCCCGGGGCUUAACCUCGGAAGUACAUUUGAUACUGCGAAGCUUGAGUGUGGGAGAGGUAAGUAGAAUUCCUGGUGUAGUGGUGAAAUACGUAGAUAUCAGGAGGAAUACCGGAGGCGAAGGCGGCUUACUGGCCCAACACUGACACUCAUACCCGAAAGCGUGGGGAUCAAACAG
rnacentral:rRNA from 1 species